rnacentral:rRNA from 1 species
CCUACGGGGGGCAGCAGUGAGGAAUAUUGGUCAAUGGACGAGAGCCUGAACCAGCCAAGCCGCGUGAAGGAUGAAGGUACUACGGAUUGUAAACCUCUUUUAUAAGGGAAUAAAGGAUGCUACUAGUCGGAUGAUGAAUGUACCAUACGAAUAAGCAUCGGCUAACUCCGUGCCAGCAGCCGCGGUAAUACGGAGGGUCCGAGCGUUAUCCGGCUUUAUUGGGUUUAAAGGGUGCGUAGGGGGGAUGUUAAGGCAGGGGUGAAAGUUUCGGGCUCAACCAUAGAAGUGCAGUUGAAACUGGCAGUCUUGAGUACGGGAGAGGUACGCGGAAUGCGUGGUGUAGCGGUGAAAUGCUUAGAUAUCACGAAGAACUCCGAUUGCGAAGGCAGCGCACUGGACCACAACUGACGCUGAGGCACGAAAGCGUGGGUAUCGAACAGGAUUAGAUACCCUUGUAGUC